AUGAUUAGUUCUCUAUCCAUUGCUAGCUGGAAUGUGCGGGGGUUGAAUAAUAGGGCGAGGCAGGCUGCGGUACGCGCCUUACUUGAUCAGCUCUCUUGCUCGAUCGUCUGUCUGCAGGAAUCAAAGCUUGACCAGGCUGCUGAUGCUGACAUCACUGAAAUAGCCGGGCCUGUGUUUGAUAAGCAUGUCAUGCUUCCAGCCGACGUCACUCGUGGUGGAGUGCUGCUCUGUUGGCGCUCG
rnacentral:rRNA from 1 species